GAUGAACGCUGGUGGCGUGCCUAAUACAUGCAAGUCGAGCGAACGGACGAGAAGCUUGCUUUUCUGAUGUUAGCGGCGGACGGGUGAGUAACACGUGGAUAACCUACCUAUAAGACUGGGAUAACUUCGGGAAACCGGAGCUAAUACCGGAUAAUAUUUUGAACCGCAUGGUUCAAAAGUGAAAGACGGUCUUGCUGUCACUUAUAGAUGGAUCCGCGCUGCAUUAGCUAGUUGGUAAGGUAACGGCUUACCAAGGCAACGAUGCAUAGCCGACCUGAGAGGGUGAUCGGCCACACUGGAACUGAGACACGGUCCAGACUCCUACGGGAGGCAGCAGUAGGGAAUCUUCCGCAGUGGGCGAAAGCCUGACGGAGCAACGCCGCGUGAGUGAUGAAGGUCUUCGGAUCGUAAAACUCUGUUAUUAGGGAAGAACAUAUGUGUAAGUAACUGUGCACAUCUUGACGGUACCUAAUCAGAAAGCCACGGCUAACUACGU
rnacentral:rRNA from 1 species